CCGAAGCCCCGGGGAACGGCGGCCGUAACUAUAACGGUCCUAAGGUAGCGAAAUUCCUUGUCGGGUAAGUUCCGACCCGCACGAAAGGCGUAACGAUCUGGGCACUGUCUCGGAGAGAGGCUCGGUGAAAUAGACAUGUCUGUGAAGAUGCGGACUAGCUGCACCUGGACAGAAAGACCCUAUGAAGCUUUACUGUUCCC
rnacentral:ncRNA from 1 species